UUCCAAAUAGCUCAGUCAGUAGAGCAUGAUACUCUUAAUAUCAGGUUCAUGGGUCUGAGCCCCACAUUGGGCAAA